AUGUGAAGCAGGCGAGAAAGAAGAGAUAUUGUACAGUUGUAGCAGCUGUUGGAGAUUUAUCAGCCGAUAGUACAACCUAUCUGCUUGCCGGUGCUGCUACUGUUGCCUUGCUCGGAACUGCCUUUCCAGUCCUCUUCUCCCGCAAGGACCUGUAAGUCUAACAUUUCCCUUAUUUCUGCUCUUCCUGUGUUGAUUCAAUUUUAGUCCCAUCCAACAAAUAUCUGGUUGUAUGAUGGUCCACGGCAGAUGUCCAGAAUGCGAUGGAGCUGGGUUUGUUCGGAAAUCCGGAGCAGCCUUGAGGGCAAAUGCAGCUCGUAAGGACCAGGCUCAAAUAGUUUGUCCCCGUUGCAACGGCCUCGGAAAACUAAACCAAAUCGACAAAUAAACUCCUCUCUGUUGUUGUCAAUUAUUAGGCAUAAACAAACUCAUCUGAUGUAAAAUUUGUAUUCUCCUCUGCAUACACCUCAGUUUCU
rnacentral:lncRNA from 1 species